rnacentral:rRNA from 1 species
GCAUACGGCUCAGUAACGCGUAGUCAACCUAACCUAUGGACGGGAAUAACCUCGGGAAACUGAGAAUAAUGCCCGAUAGAACAUUAUGCCUGGAAUGGUUUAUGUUCCAAAUGAUUUAUCGCCGUAGGAUGGGACUGCGGCCUAUCAGUUUGUUGGUGAGGUAAUGGCCCACCAAGACUAUUACAGGUACGGGCUCUGAGAGGAGUAGCCCGGAGAUGGGUACUGAGACACGGACCCAGGCCCUAUGGGGCGCAGCAGGCGAGAAAACUUUGCAAUGUGCGAAAGCACGACAAGGUUAAUCCGAGUGGUUUCUGCUAAAGAAACCUUUUGUCAGUCCUAGAAACACUGAUGAAUAAGGGGUGGGCAAGUUCUGGUGUCAGCCGCCGCGGUAAAACCAGCACCUCAAGUGGUCAGGAUGAUUAUUGGGCCUAAAGCAUCCGUAGCCGGCUCUGUAAGUUUUCGGUUAAAUCUGUACGCUCAACGUACAGGCUGCCGGGAAUACUGCAGAGCUAGGGAGUGGGAGAGGUAGACGGUACUCGGUAGGAAGGGGUAAAAUCCUUUGAUCUAUUGAUGACCACCUGUGGCGAAGGCGGUCUACCAGAACACGUCCGACGGUGAGGAAUGAAAGCUGGGGGAGCAAACCGGAUUAGAUACCCGGGUAGUCCCAGCUGUAAACUAUGCAAACUCAGUGAUGCAUUGGCUUGUGGCCAAUGCAGUGCUGCAGGGAAGCCGUUAAGUUUGCCGCCUGGGAAGUACGUACGCAAGUAUGAAACUUAAAGGAAUUGGCGGGGGAGCACCACAAGGGGUGAAGCCUGCGGUUCAAUUGGAGUCAACGCCGGA